rnacentral:rRNA from 1 species
AUUGAACGCUGGCGGCAGGCCUAACACAUGCAAGUCGAGCGGUAGAGAGGUGCUUGCAUCUCUUGAGAGCGGCGGACGGGUGAGUAAUGCCUAGGAAUCUGCCUGGUGGUGGGGGAUAACGUUCGGAAACGGACGCUAAUACCGCAUACGUCCUACGGGAGAAAGCGGGGGAUCUUCGGACCUCGCGCCAUUAGAUGAGCCUAGGUCGGAUUAGCUAGUUGGUGAGGUAAUGGCUCACCAAGGCGACGAUCCGUAACUGGUCUGAGAGGAUGAUCAGUCACACUGGAACUGAGACACGGUCCAGACUCCUACGGGAGGCAGCAGUGGGGAAUAUUGGACAAUGGGCGAAAGCCUGAUCCAGCCAUGCCGCGUGUGUGAAGAAGGUCUUCGGAUUGUAAAGCACUUUAAGUUGGGAGGAAGGGUAGUAACCUAAUACGUUGCUACUUUGACGUUACCGACAGAAUAAGCACCGGCUAACUUCGUGCCAGCAG